AACACUUAAACCGAAAAAAAAAACUCAACUUUAUCAAGAUAACAGAAAACCAAAGUUUUUCAGCUUCGAAAGAAUUGAAAAAUGGCUUUUAGUGUUGGGUUCUGUCAGAAUCUUCUCGCGAAGUCUCAAGCUUCUUUAAUUCCUCCUGUUUUUUCAGUUUCACAUAGUUCAGUAGUUUCUUCAUUGUCAGCUAAGAAUGCUGCAUGUCAUCACAAGAAGAAGCUCAAGCAACCCAGAGGACUGACAAGAGCAUCAGCUGAAGGACUUCCCAGUGAAUUAGUUGAGGAUUUGAAAUUUGUUCCUCUAAAUGCUGAUGAUCCCACAUAUGGUCCACCUGCUUUAUUGUUGCUUGGAUUUGAAGUUGAAGAGGUAGAGAAGAUACGACAGUUUUUAAAAGAAAUGGAUGGUGAAUUCUUGGAGAUUAUUUAUUGUACUGAAGACAUGAUUACUCGUUCACUUUGGGAAGCUGUGAAUACAAGGCAACCUAAUUUGGAAGAAGUGAAGAUUUCAAAGUCACUUCCACGGAUCUGUUUUUUCUCUGGUCUUAGUGGGGAGGAGAUGAUGAUGUUCAUUGACGCUUUUCCAGAAACUGGCAUUAUUCCCUUGGAUAUAUGCAGGAUUAGAGCCUGCUGUUUUUGCUGCUCUUGUUCCCAAUAGUGCUGAUAAACCAGUAGCUGAGUUGAUAGAUGAGAUUAUGGGAGACCAUGAGAUGCUGACUGCACAACAGUCAGGCUCCACAUAACAUGUACAGUGCAGCUUAAUGGUGGUUGGAUGCCAUGAAGAAGGGUGGUUCUCAAGGGUUCUUUUUCCAUGUGAUGCCAUGCUACAUUUGGCUACUUAAUUUAGACCUCAAUUGCUCAUCUUCACCACCGAUGUAUGUCUCAGUUACAGAAACCACAUAACCUUUGCUAUCCUUGUUUAAUUUUACUCUUAAAGCAUGAGCAGGCAAAAAUAUCCAAGCCGUACCAUCACAAUUCUUCUAAUAGAAGGCAAAAUUACCAUUCAGCCAAAGUUUGUAUGUCUUCAGCAAUUCCAAGUCAUGAAGCUUUUAUCCUUCUUUGCAA